CUGUCUCAACUUUGUACGUAUAAAUGUUACGCUCAAGCCGACACGUUCACCCGUCUCAUGUCUCAUUCCCUCUCUCGCUUGAGUAAAGUAUGUAUAUAAACCCAACUCGCUCAUCAUGCCGGGUUUCACUAGGAGAAGACUAGGAUGGCUGGAAACCAGGAAAAUUUUGAUUCCAAGAAUACCUCGACUUACAAUGGGACUCCAGAAUCGCCACCACGUGUCGACACAGAACUUGGGCGACGUCGACACUCCUCGUCGCCAAUACCGCUCGUCCGAAGAUCACAUGACGAGAGUGACGCUGACGAGGAGGAAAGCAAAAGGGACAAAAAAUUUGUCCGAUUUGUCGACACGCUUGGCCUGCAGUUGACCAGCGUCAAACUUUUUCAUCACGACGAACUCCCCAACGUGCCAGAGAUCAUCUCUCAUUGACAUCAAGAACUUCGUCUCCCCCGAAACAGAGUGACGUCCUCCUCCCCACGUUCCGCCAGCCGGGCACCCUCGCCAACUUUAUUGUUCGUCUGUCCGAGCAAAAAGUUCUGCUCGAAUCGUGUCAGGCGUCAGUAAAAAAUAUCUAGUGCCGCCUAAGUUCCCGGGAGAGAAAUAAGAGCUUUUUAACUCCGUUGUUAAUAAUUGAAAAAAAAAUAUUAUAAUAAAAAUUUUCAAAAUUUCCUAGAUCUGCGGAGGACUCGGUGACCGUGCUGUCCGGAGAGGUUAAAGUGGUCAACGUCUGGUUUCACAAGGCAGUCUGGGUCAGAUACUCGUACGAUGGGUGGGCAUCCUUUGCAGAAAUUCAGGCCACCCACAAGCCCGACCUACACACGGGAUGGACCGACACGUUUUUAUUUCGGUUGCCACUCCUCCCCCGGAAGGAUACUCGACCUCCGUGGGACACUUUGCAAUUUGCGAUCCGUUACCACACCCACGGAAAUAUUUAUUGGGACAAUAAUUACACCCACAACUACAGACUGCAACUCUUCCACUGAAAGAAAUCGCUACUCGAAGAAAACAAAGGAAUAUUUACGAGUGUCCACCACAUCCUUAGCGAAAUCUCUAAAAUUUAGAUUCAUGCUAUUAACUAUUUUUAUUUAUAAGUUUCCUAAAAAGGAUUUUUAUAACAUCUUAGACCUAUCGGAAUCUCAACGUUUUAAUUUAUUGGAACUGUUUUUCCCAGUUUUUUUCCUAAUUGCUUAAUAAGCUCAUUAAAUUGUUUUUUAAGACUGACACAUACAACGGAUCUGGUCUGCAAGGUACAAAUAUUUAUACAUACGUAUAUCGAAUUAACAUAAAUUUACGAAACUAAAUUGUAUUCAUCUUUCUUCUCGUCAACAAUUGUACGGAAAUUAUUCCCUUUCCAACUUUUAUAAAACUACGAAGGCUGUUAACAUCUACAUACAUAAUAUGUAGAUAUAAUAUGUAAUAUGUACAUAUUAUGUACAUAUCUAUUUGUGAAAUUAAUCCCUAUUUUGUUAAGGUAAAGUAUGCGUGCCCGAAAUAAAUUAUGUUACAUGUAUUGUCAUCAAUGAGUACGGUAAUAGGUAUUUGCAUACAUAUUUACAUGCACGGUACUCAUUUUAAAAUUUUCAGCAAGUUACAUAUAUAUAUAGUUUAAUAGACGGUUAUAUUGAAAUAUGCAGAAAAUCACAUUUUUGAAACCGUUUUUUCCUUCUAAAAACGUUGAGCUGAGCUGUAACAUAAGUUGAGGUGUACAAACACGCAAUUAGAAACA